rnacentral:rRNA from 1 species
GUGAGUCGAGCGGCGAACGGGUGAGUAACGCGUGGAUAACCUGCCCUGAGGUGGGGAAUAACCCGGGGAAACUCGGGCUAAUACCGCAUGAUACCGAGAGGUCAAAGAGGGCUCGCAAGGGCUCUUGCCACAGGAGGGGUCCGCGUUCGAUUAGCUAGUUGGUAGGGUAAUGGCCUACCAAGGCGACGAUCGAUAGCCGGCCUGAGAGGGUGAUCGGCCACACUGGAACUGAGACACGGUCCAGACUCCUACGGGAGGCAGCAGUGGAGAAUUUUGCGCAAUGGGCUAACGCCUGACGCAGCAACGCCGCGUGGAGGAUGAAGGUCUUUGGAUUGUAAACUCCUGUCAGCAGGGAAAAAGGGAAGAGACCUAAUACGUCUCUGACUUGAUUGUACCUGCAGAGGAAGCCCCGGCUAACUCUGUGCCAGCAGCCGCGGUAAUACAGAGGGGGCAAGCGUUAUUCGGAAUUAUUGGGCGUAAAGGGCGCGUAGGCGGCUUUUCAAGUGACGGGUGAAAUCCCUCGGCUUAACCGAGGAACUGCCUGUCAGACUGGAAGGCUUGAGACCGGGAGAGGUGAGUGGAAUUCCCAGUGUGGCGGUGAAAUGCGUACAUAUUGGGAGGAACACCAGUGGCGAACGCGGCUCACUGGACCGGAACUGACGCUGAGGCGCGAAAGCGUGGGGAGCAAACACGAUUACAUACC